rnacentral:rRNA from 1 species
UGCGUAGGCGGCGCGGAAAGUCAGGGGUGAAAUCCCGGAGCUCAACUCCGGAACGGCCUUUGAUACUCCCGCGCUUGAGAACUGGAGGGGACAUCGGAAUUCACGGUGGAGCAGUGAAAUGCGUGGAUAUCGUGAGGAACACUAGUGGCGAAGGCGGAUGUCUGGACAGUAUCUGACGCUGAGGCACGAAGGCCAGGGAGGCAACG